ACAGUACAGAGACAGGUCAUUAAGGAGCAGGUAGGGGUUAGACAGUACAGAGACAGAUCAUUAAGGAGCAGGUAGGGGUUAGACAGUACAGAGACAGGUCAUUAAGGAGCAGGUAGGGGUUAGACAGUACAAAGACAGGUCAUUAAGGAGCAGGUGGGGGUUAGACAGUACAGAGACAGGUCAUUAAGGAGCAGGUAGGGGUUAGACAGUACAGAGACAGGUCAUUAAGGAGCAGGUAGGGGUUAGACAGUACAGAGACAGGUCAUUAAGGAGCUGGUAGGGGUUAGACAGUACAGAGACAGGUCAUUAAGGAGCAGGUGGGGGUUAGACAGUACAGAGACAGGUCAUUAAGGAGCAGGUAGGGGUUAGACAGUACAGAGACAGGUCAUUAAGGAGCAGGUAGGGGUUAGACAGUACAGAGACAGGUCAUUAAGGAGCAG
ensembl:lncRNA